rnacentral:rRNA from 1 species
UACAGAGGGUGCAAGCGUUAAUCGGAAUUACUGGGCGUAAAGCGCACGUAGGCGGUUUUUUAAGUCAGAUGUGAAAGCCCCGGGCUCAACCUGGGAAUUGCAUUUGAGACUGGAAAACUAGAGUGUGUGAGAGGGGGGUAGAAUUCCAAGUGUAGCGGUGAAAUGCGUAGAGAUUUGGAGGAAUACCAGUGGCGAAGGCGGCCCCCUGGCACAACACUGACGCUCAGGUGCGAAAGCGUGGGGAGCAAACAGGAUUAGAACGUACCCGU